rnacentral:lncRNA from 1 species
ACCAACUGGUCUCUUUCUCAGACCUUCUAGAUAUUGAAUAGAAAGAAUCUCAAAGCAAUCUGAGGUCUGAGAGAAUAUUGUUUUCUUAAAACGUGUCAUUAGACUGAUACAACUCUUUAAUGCCCACUGGAUAAUGGAAUUUUCCUGUCUCUAAUUUUCCUUUCAUGUAAUCCCGAUGGCAGCUCCUUUCUGAUUAGUCCAUCUGUCCUUCCAUGGCACAGCCCCAUCAGUACAUCUCACACCACUCACUCGUGCUGGGCAGUGCCUGGAGAUGUUUGAGGAACUAAGGACAUAUUUCUGCUUAACAGUGAAACACAACAAUUCACAAAGCAGAGGUAAUCACACUGGUGCCAGUGGACUACUCAGAGUGAGAUACUUUUUAAUACAGGCAAGAGGAUCACAGUCUGCUUGCUUAAAAAAUACAAUGCAAGGAACAAGACUGAAUCCACAAAGGAUUGCCCAAUCAAAGUCUGCUUUUCACAGCAAUGCACCUUCCAACAAGUCAUGCCUGAAAACUAAUUGACAAACGAACAAGUUUCAGGUUGGAAAUAUGUAAAAUAUAUCCUCAUGUUAAACGCUCAAAGUUGGAAGAAAAAGACACUGCACAGACACUUCAGUCUUUGAAGUGCACAGCUUCUUUUGGCUUCAAUGAACCAUGAAAAUAUCAAAGGGAUAACUUACCACUCAGUAUUUUAAUGUUCAUCAGUCCUCAGAUUGCUUUACUAAGAAGAACAGUGGCAUCAGUAUUGUACAGCAAUGUGUUACAUGCUUCAACUUGCUUUUUUUCUGUUGAUAUGAUUGUCUCAAUUAAUCAAUUCUUUUCAAGAACAGAAUUUUCAGUGGUCCUUAUGAGGUGAUGAUUCUUUAAUAACACAAAGCAGAAAAUUUUUCAGGGAAAGUGAAAAAAAUCAGCUUAUUUUCUAUGAAAA